GACGAACGCUGGCGGCGUGCCUAACACAUGCAAGUCGAGCGAGAGACUUCGGUCUCUAGCGGCGGACGGGUGAGUAACACGUGGGUAACCUGCCUCAUAGAGGGGGAUAGCCUCCCGAAAGGGAGAUUAAUACCGCAUAAUAUGGAUUAAUCGCAUGAUUGAUUCAUUAAAGGAGUAAUCCGCUAUGAGAUGGACCCGCGGCGCAUUAGCUAGUUGGAGAGGUAAAGGCUCACCAAGGCGACGAUGCGUAGCCGACCUGAGAGGGUGAUCGGCCACAUUGGAACUGAGACACGGCCCAGACUCCUACGGGAGGCAGCAGUGGGGAAUAUUGGACAAUGGGCGCAAGCCUGAUCCAGCCAUGCCGCGUGAGUGAUGAAGGCCUUAGGGUUGUAAAGCUCUUUCAGUAGGGAAGAUAAUGACGGUACCUACAGAAGCAGCCCCGGCUAACUUCGUGCCAGCCGCCGCCGUAAGAC
rnacentral:rRNA from 1 species